GACGAACGCUGGCGGCGUGCUUAACACAUGCAAGUCGAACGAGAGCGUAGAGAAAGCUUGCUUUUUCUACAAUCUAGUGGCAAACGGGUGAGUAACGCGUAAACAACCUGCCCUACGGAUGGGGACAACAGCUGGAAACGGCUGCUAAUACCGAAUACGUUCCGAAAGUCGCAUGACUAUCGGAAGAAAGGAUGGCCUCUAUUUAUAAGCUAUCGCCGGAGGAGGGGUUUGCGUCUGAUUAGCUAGUUGGAGGGGUAACGGCCCACCAAGGCGAAGAUCAGACGCGGGGCUGAGAGGGUGAGCGGCGAGAGUGGAGGUGAGACCCGGACCAGACAACUGCGGGAGGCAGCAGUGGGGAGUCUGCCGCAAUGGGCGAAAGCAUGACGGAGCAACGCAGAGGGAAUGAAGACGGCUUUCGGAUGGAAAAGAUAGGUUAUACGGGACGAAUAAUCUUGUGGUUAAUACCCAUGAGAAGUGACGGUACCGUAAGAGAAAGCAACGGCUAGCUACGUG
rnacentral:rRNA from 1 species